CGGCAACGGAUAUCUCGGCUCUCGCAUCGAUGAAGAACGUAGCGAAAUGCGAUACUUGGUGUGAAUUGCAGAAUCCCGUGAACCAUCGAGUCUUUGAACGCAAGUUGCGCCCGAAGCCAUCAGGCCGAGGGCACGCCUGCCUGGGCGUCACACGCCCUUGCCCCC
rnacentral:rRNA from 1 species